UAGCUCAACGGCAUAAGCGCCUGCCUUGCAAGCAGGCAGUUGUGAGUUCGAUCCCCAC
rnacentral:tRNA from 1 species